UCUAAGCAUCAGGUAACAUCAAAUCGUACCCCAAACCGACACAGGUGGUCAGGUAGAGAAUACCAAGGCGCUUGAGAGAACUCGGGUGAAGGAACUAGGCAAAAUGGUGCCGUAACUUCGGGAGAAGGCACGCUGGUGUGUAGGUGAAGUCCCUGCGGAUGGAGCUGAGACCAGUCGAAGAUACCAGCUGGCUGCAACUGUUUAUUAAAAACACAGCACUGUGCAAACACGAAAGUGGACGUAUACGGUGUGACGCCUGCCCGGUGCCGGAAGGUUAAUUGAUGGGGUUAUCCGUAAGGAGAAGCUCUUGAUCGAAGCCCCGGUAAACGGCGGCCGUAACUAUAACGGUCCUAAGGUAGCGAAAUUCCUUGUCGGGUAAGUUCCGACCUGCACGAAUGGCGUAAUGAUGGCCAGGCUGUCUCCACCCGAGACUCAGUGAAAUUGAACUCGCUGUGAAGAUGCAGUGUACCCGCGGCAAGACGGAAAGACCCCGUGAACCUUUACUAUAGCUUGACACUGAACAUUGAGCCUUGAUGUGUAGGAUAGGUGGGAGGCUUUGAAGCGUGGACGCCAGUCUGCGUGGAGCCAACCUUGAAAUACCACCCUUUAAUGUUUGAUGUUCUAACGUUGGCCCCUGACCGGGGUUGCGGACAGUGUCUGGUGGGUAGUUUGACUGGGGCGGUCUCCUCCCAAAGCGUAACGGAGGAGCACGAAGGUUAGCUAAUCCUGGUCGGACAUCAGGAGGUUAGUGCAAUGGCAUAAGCUAGCUUGACUGCGAGCGUGACGGCGCGAGCAGGUGCGAAAGCAGGUCAUAGUGAUCCGGUGGUUCUGAAUGGAAGGGCCAUCGCUCAACGGAUAAAAGGUACUCCGGGGAUAACAGGCUGAUACCGCCCAAGAGUUCAUAUCGACGGCGGUGUUUGGCACCUCGAUGUCGGCUCAUCACAUCCUGGGGCUGAAGUAGGUCCCAAGGGUAUGGCUGUUCGCCAUUUAAAGUGGUACGCGAGCUGGGUUUAGAACGUCGUGAGACAGUUCGGUCCCUAUCUGCCGUGGGCGCUGGAGAAUUGAGGGGGGCUGCUCCUAGUACGAGAGGACCGGAGUGGACGCAUCACUGGUGUUCGGGUUGUCAUGCCAAUGGCACUGCCCGGUAGCUAAAUGCGGAAGAGAUAAGUGCUGAAAGCAUCUAAGCACGAAACUUGCCCCGAGAUGAGUUCUCCCUGAGACUAUAAGUCUCCUGAAGGAACGUUGAAGACGACGACGUUGAUAGGCCGGGUGUGUAAGCGCAGCGAUGCGUUGAGCUAACCGGUACUAAUGAACCGUGAGGCUUAACCUU
rnacentral:rRNA from 1 species